GAGACACCUUCAUCUUCAAACUUCUCUUCUUUUACCAGACAACGUUACUUUGCAACGAUGUUAUACUUUGAAUCCAGCCACUCUUCUGCCCCUUCCCAAGGGGGGUGUUCCACAAUACUGGUACAGUUUACAUAUACAUCCUGAUGUUUACAUGGAACUACAAAUUGAAAAGCCCACAAUUCUACAUGAUGAACAACCCGA